ACACGACCGUACCGCAAACCGACACUGGUGCGCGAGAUGAGUAUUCUAAGGCGCUUGAGAGAACUCAGGAGAAGGAACUCGGCAAAUUGACACCGUAACUUCGGAAGAAGGUGUGCCUUUAGUAGGUGAAGGGAUUUACUCCUGGAGCCCAAUGAGGUUGCAAAAAAUCGGUGGCUGCGACUGUUUAUUAAUAACACAGCACUCUGCAAACACGAAAGUGGACGUAUAGGGUGUGACGCCUGCCCGGUGCUGGAAGAUUAAAUGAUGGGGUGCAAGCUCUUGAUUGAAGUCCCAGUAAACGGCGGCCGUAACUAUAACGGUCCUAAGGUAGCGAAAUUCCUUGUCGGGUAAGUUCCGACCUGCACGAAUGGCGUAACGAUGGCCACACUGUCUCCUCCUGAGACUCAGCGAAGUUGAAAUGUUUGUGAUGAUGCAAUCUCCCCGCGGAAAGACGGAAAGACCCCAUGAACCUUUACUGUAGCUUUGUAUUGGACUUUGAACAGAUCUGUGUAGUAUAGGUGGGAGGCUUUGAAGCAGGGUCGCUAGAUCUUGUGGAGCCAACGUUGAAAUACCACCCUGGUGUGUUUGAGGUUCUAACCUAGGCCCGUAAUCCGGGUUGGGGACAGUGCAUGGUAGGCAGUUUGACUGGGGCGGUCUCCUCCCAAAGUGUAACGGAGGAGUUCGAAGGUACGCUAGUUACGGUCGGACAUCGUGACGAUAGUGCAAUGGCAUAAGCGUGCUUAACUGCGAGACUGACAAGUCGAGCAGAUGCGAAAGCAGGACAUAGUGAUCCGGUGGUUCAGUAUGGAAGGGCCAUCGCUCAACGGAUAAAAGGUACUCUGGGGAUAACAGGCUGAUACCGCCCAAGAGUUCAUAUCGACGGCGGUGUUUGGCACCUCGAUGUCGGCUCAUCUCAUCCUGGGGCUGUAGCCGGUCCCAAGGGUAUGGCUUUCGCCAUUUAAAGAGGUACGUGAGCUGGGUUUAAAACGUCGUGAGACAGUUUGGUCCCUAUCUUCCGUGGGCGCUGCAGAUUUGAGGAAGCCUGCUCCUAGUACGAGAGGACCGGAGUGGACGCACCUCUGGUGUAUCGGUUGUCACGCCAGUGGCAUUGCCGAGUAGCUAUGUGCGGAAGAGAUAACCGCUGAAAGCAUCUAAGCGGGAAACUCGUUUCAAGAUGAGAUCUGCCGGGGCCUUGAGCCCCCUGAAGAGUCGUUCAAGACCAGGACGUUGAUAGGUCGGGUGUGGAAGCGCAGUAAUGCGUUAAGCUAACCGAUACUAAUUGCUCGUGCGGCUUGACCCC
rnacentral:rRNA from 1 species